rnacentral:misc_RNA from 1 species
UUGUAGUGAGAUGAAUGCUGUUUUGGUGGUAGGGCCCUUCUGAAGAGAGGGCACCGCUGCCAGCAGUAUAGUCUCACCACUAUAAAACUCUUUUAUUAUUUUCUAGAUUUUUCAUUGCUGAGUGGCAUAACUAUAAAAAAGUUAAAACUUUCAACAACGGAUCUCUUGGCUCUAGCAUCGAUGAAGAACGCAGCGAAAUGCGAUAAGUAAUGUGAAUUGCAGAAUUCAGUGAAUCAUCGAAUCUUUGAACGCACAUUGCGCCUGGCAGUAUUCUGCCAGGCAUGCCUGUCCGAGCGUCAUUAUCACCACUCAAGACUCUUUUGUUCUUGGCGUUGGAGGUCCUGUUCUCCCCUGAACAGGCCGCCGAAAUGUAUCGGCUGUUAUACUUGCCAACUCCCCUG